AUGAUUGCUGGUGAACUCUCAAAAAACACCUUCCCUCAGGCCCCAGCCCUAGAUAUUCAGACUCGGUUACCAAGGGCUGGGCGACCCGGCUGUCCGGUUUCUAAUCGUUCCUGGGUGAUUCAGACGGACGCUGCUGCGCUCGGCUGCUCACUCCCCCACGGUGCGAGCGCGUCGAGGCGACCCGCAGGGCCUCUCGGGCCGAAGCCGUGCAAGGUGGACGUCUACCUGGACGGGGCUACCCGCCGUCCAGGCCUGCAGAGGUCAACGAGCUACCCACCGUCGGCACGCACGCGCAGCAAAACCGCCCCCGCCCCGGAGCUGCCGACCCCCUCCCCAAGGGCUUCCCUCCCCAAGAGGCCAUCCCGCUGUGAGCCCUCCACCCGGGGCGAGCCAGGAGCCCGGGAGCUGCGGAGGCAGCCCGCUGCCACUCGGCGGCGCUGGUCUGGCCGCACGCCGCGUUGUCCAAGGGCAGGGAAAAUCCUGCCCUCAAGAGAGCCCCGGCUUCCCCGCGGCCUCUUGACACCGAGGCCUCUUCACGCGCGGUCCCAACCCGGGGCUGACGGGUUCGCGACUGUCCUGCCAAUCAGAUACGUUUUCCUCAGAGUGGCCAGCCGACCAAUCACCGCGCGCGGGUGUCUUCUUCGGCUCUUCGGCUCGUCGGCCCUUCGGCCCUUCGGGCCUUCGGUUCUUCGGCGCUCGCUGUUGCUGGGCGCUCCGGGGCCUUCCGCCACGCUCGAAAGCUUAGUUCUCCCGGGUUUAAUUUCCCCUUUUUUUCUCAGACACUUCCGGGUCCUGCGUCGCUCCGGAAGCCCGCGAGUUCCGGAAAAAGCCUGGGUAAUCCAGGUUCUGGGAGAAACCAAGCUUCCCAGAGAAUGUCUCAGAGAAAGUUACGUGGAACGGGGGCGUUUUCGCAGACUCCUAAGACCUCUCCCUCCUUAAUGCCUGUCAGUAAGGAGUCAAGCCUCAAGGAAGAAAAGCAGCUGGACAGGUAAUAAUUCCUGGGGAUGGGCUGCAGCCAGGCUGCUCCAGGAAGCUAGAAAUAAGAAGUGAAAGGCUGGGAAUCCUAGAUUGAAGAGGACCAUGCAUGAAAAUGGAACAGUCUGAGCCAUCACAGAUCAAGAAGAAAAACAACAACAACAAAAACCCAAUCAUUUCAAAAUUGGUAUCUCGUUUUCUUUGUUCUUUCUAUGAAGUAUCUCAUUAAUAUUUAUGAUGUUUUAAUAGUAUUUGCCUCAUUUUGAAAAAGACAGUUCUUUGUUACCAAUCGAUGAGAAGGCUGGGGUAGGCUUUUAGCUACCUAGAAAGACAAUGGAACCACCCAAUUGUGAUUCAUCUGAACCAUAGCCCCAGAGUCUAAAUCUUUAAGCCUGUGAUUCAAUCAUUUUAAUGCAAGCAUCCCAUUACCUUGUCUGAAC
rnacentral:lncRNA from 1 species